AAAUGCAGCAAUCGCAAUCGAAUGCAUCACUUUGAACUCGCUACUGUAACAUAAAUGACUGAGUUUGGAGCAUGUCCCUGUGUCACAUGUAAAUCCUGUAGUAGAAUUAGAACCUACCCAAUAAAUGAUGAAGAAAAAUGCUGGUUUCAGUAGGAAAGUUAUUGCUUCAACGACCCUCCCAGACGUUUCUUUCUUUGUUAAUGUGCAGAGUCAUCUGCUUUUUUAGGAUUUUUAAUGUGAUUAUUUAGUUGUCACAAACUAUUUACUCUUCUUUGAGUGACUCCAAAUCAUGGGUGUCAUGUUGCUUUCACCUUUCAGUUUUUCGAGAGGAUGCGAUAAGCUAAUUUUCAUGUUGAAUUGUAACCAAAUAUCUUUUUUUUAGGCUGCCGUUUAACAAAACAAAAUUGGUAAAUAGACAAACCCCCCAACCUGCUCUUUUCCCGUAAAGGUUUGGUGAGUAAAGCAAGAUCUAAACUGGGAUUAAGGAAUGCUAUUAUGGGAUAGAAUAUUUAUACAGUUCUUCUUGGGUUAAGUCAUAGGGUAGAUAUUUAUUUAUUUUUUAUAUUUUAACAAUAC
rnacentral:lncRNA from 1 species